AUCUUCUGCCUCCAAUAUACUGUUGACCAGAGCCCAUCCAAAGUGAUGUCAUAAGACUUUAAUAUGUAAGCAGCCCUGAUUGGGGCCAGCACCACUCCAGUGACUCUUCUCCCUGAGGAGAGAACAGUACAAUCCCGGCAGUGGGUGGGGUAGUCCGCACCCACCAAUGAAAGCUUCACAGGAGACAACACAGGGAACACACCCUGCAGUUCAAUGAUACUGCAUCUCUGAUAAAUGCCAGGUCUAACUCAACUCAAGCCUAAGGCAGCCCCAGACUGGAUCACUAACACUACAGGGACCAAACACUGGCCACAACAGGAAAAUGCCAAAGGAAAGAGAUAAAUUGAAGAAAAUAUUUUAAGCAAAAAGAACCAGAACAUGAAGAUUUAGAAAAUUCUCAGCCUAUUUAUAUUUAAAGCAAAAAGAAAGAAAGCAUGCUUUGAAGUCACAACCCAAUUUUCUGGCUAGACAACUGUUUUUAUAAAGAAAUUUUGGAUGUGAGUUGUGGAUAUAAUCAACUAUUACAGCAGAAACACUGCCAGCCUGGACCAAAGGGAACAGAGAUAGAAUAAAAUGAAGGAAGGCUGUCAGACUUCUGUAAGACUUUUUAGAGAAAAAAGUGAAUUGAUAAAGCCAUUCUAUGAUGAAAUAUGCUAUUCUACAAGAAAAGGGAAGAAUAACUCCAAAGGGUAGUUCAAACAUCACUGGAGCUACCACUGCUACCAGAGGCCGAGGGCAAAGGCCAAAAGGUUAGGCUGUUGUCUCUUCUGUUCCAAGGAGUGGGGCUGCCACCCAUAGCUGAAGUAGGGCCAAACUCCAGAUUUCUAAGGGAAUAGUGCAUGAAGCUAAUAGGAAUUAUUCUCAAGCCUUAAAAUCUAACCUAAUCUAAUUCUCAAGAUUUGAAAACUGGCUUAAGACCUAUGGCCUCUUUUUUCCUUCUAAUUUCUUCUUUUGGGAAUAGAAAUGCCUGUUCUAUGCCUGUCCCACUAUUGUAUUAUUGGGAGAAUAUAAUUUGAUGUUUAGUUUUACAGGUUUUCAGAUGGAGAAGAAUUUUGCCUCAGGAUUAAACAUACUCCAAGUAUUACCCAUAACUGGAUGACUUAGAUGAUGAUAUUUGGGACUUUGAGUUGAUGAUAUUUAGGUGAGAUGCUGGAGUUAAAACUGGGGACCUAGGAAUGAGUUACAGAUCUCAGCAACAUCUAAUUUUGCCUGCUAGAGCCUAUGGAAGAAGUCACAACAGGUCACAGGCACCCCCUUGGACUUUGGGUCUACAAGCUGCCAAAAAAGUGCAUAUCCUUUAUGUGACAAUUAUUGGUUUUGGUGAAAACUAAGAACAUGACUUUGGUUAUGUAAUAAUCUUCUGAUAAGAAAUUCGAACCAAAACACAUUAAUAUAUUUCCUUUUGUUCUCUAGUUAUAUUAGGGUAUUCACACUUUAGGCAAAGUUUAAAGUUUCUAUAAAAUACAUGCUCAAAUACAUAUUAACAAACCAAAGAAAGUUCUCAUGCAUUUAAUUUAAACCCAUAUAGGGGUGCCUGGGAGGCUCAGUUGGUUAAGCAUAUGACUUCGGCUUAGGUCAUGAUCUCAGCUCAGGUCAUGAUCUCGGAGUUUGUGAGUUUGAGCCCCACAUCAGGCUCUGCAUCGGGCUCUGUGCUGACAGCUCAGAGCCUAGAGCCUGCCUCGGAU